rnacentral:rRNA from 1 species
CCCUUAGAUGUUCUGGGCCGCACGCGCGCUACACUGACGAAGUCAGCGAGCAUGUCCUACGCCGACAGGUGCGGGGAAUCUUGUCAAACUUCGUCGUGAUGGGGAUUGAUUAUUGAAAUUCUUGAUCAUCAACGAGGAAUUCCUAGUAAGCGCAAGUCAGCGGCUUGCGUUGAUUACGUCCCUGCCCUUUGUACACACCGCCCGUCGCUACUACCGAUUGAAUGGUUUAGUGAGAUCUUCGGAUUGGCGCCACUGCGGCUCAGCAAUGGGCUCGGUGGAUGCCGAAAAGUUGAUCAAACUUGAUCAUUUAGAGGAAGUAAAAGUCGUAACA